UACGUAGGGGGCGAGCGUUGUCCGGAGUUACUGGGCGUAAAGGGCACGCAGGCGGUGCGGCGCGUUUCGCGUGACAGCGGAGGGCUUAACUCUCCGAGGAUGCGAAAGACGGCGGCACUUGAGGGCCAGAGAGGGACACGGAAUUCCGGGUGGAGUGGUGAAAUGCGUAGAGAUCCGGAGGAACACCGAAGGCGAAGGCAGUGUCCUGGCUGGUGACUGACGCUGAGGUGCGAAAGCUAGGGGGAGCGAACGGG
rnacentral:rRNA from 1 species